GACCUGAUGGUGCAAUGGUUAGCAUACCUGCUAUACUUAAAAUAAUUGGACGAUAAUUAAGCAGGAGAUCCCCGUUCGACUCGAGGUCGGGUCA